CUGUCUCAAAACAGACAAACCUCUCUUCUUACACUUUUUUUAAAAAUGUGCUACAAUGAACGUUUAGUUUCUUUGAGUACCAUGCCUUACUGGUACACAUUUGAAAGAAUAUUUUUCUGAUUGAAACAACAUAAUAAUAGGUAGAUACGCCUUUAGCCCAGUGAUACGAAGAGUCUUGGUCUCUACUGUUAUCCCCUAAAAUUUUCUUUAGAAAUCAAGAAUGAAAGGAAAACACUUUUAUUUAGGCCAUGUCUGCUCAAUGGCAGAAAGUUAACUGCCUUUCCUGUCAGAAACUAACUUAAAGAACUUCAAUUUUAUGUUGAAAACUGUAUUGAAGAUUGAAUUGCCGAGAAAACCACAACCCAGAAUUAUUCUGGAGCAGGCCAGAUUGACUUACCAUACCAACCAACGCUUUGUGGUGUACAGGGAGGAUGUUUGUUUGAAUAAAACUUGUAUGUUCUUGUGAUUGUCAAACCAACCAGUGAAGGUGAUAGAAAUAGUCAGCUUCUCACAAUAGUAGCUAAAAAUGUGGGGGUUUUUUUGUUUGUUUGUUUUUGAGACGGAGUCUCGCUCUGUCGCCCAGGCUAGAGUGCAGUGGCGCAGUCUUGGCUCACUGCAACCUCCACCUCCCAGGUUCAAGCAAUUCCCCUGCCUCAGCCUCCCGAGUAGCUGGGAUUACAGAUGCAUGCCACCAUGCCCAGCUAAUUUUUAUAUUUUUAGUAGAGAUGGGGUUUCACCAUGUUGGUCAGGCUGGUCUCCAACUCCUGACCUCGUGAUUCCAAGAUGUGUUAAUUUCAAUUAGGACUACUUCAAACGCAUUUCACAGUUUUAACAAGGUGGAAAGUGCUUUACCAGAAAGUAUCUCAAUAGAGGAUUGGUUUUUAUUUGCUUUUUAAACCAUUGACGCAUUAAUCAAGAAAAUUACCAGGGUAACUUACAAAUUUUUGAUUUUUGAUGAUACAGCUCUAUAUGGUUUCAUUUGGUAUGUGAGUAGACACACAAAACAAAAAUAAGGUUUAGAGUUACACCUUUUAGUCAUCUUUUUAGGGGGAAAGAAAAAUUAAACCAAGAACAUUUCUUACACCAAAAUAAUCUUAAAUGAAAUUAGAUGAAUUUUCAUUCUACUUGGGAUGAGAUGCCAAUAAACUAAAUCCUUCUGAUUUUGUUAUUUUUAGUUAUAUUUAUAAUUAUCAUUAUUUAGAUUCAAUUUAGUUAGCAUAUUUUCUGGCAUCCAUUUCUAUUAAAGUUUAAGAAUGCUGCUUCAAGGACUGAAUUAUGAUAUAUCGUGCAAAAAUGUAAUUUUGCUUAUAAUAUUUAUCUUGUAUAUCCAAUGACAUAUAUUUGAAUAAAAAGGACCUGUAACAGUAAUUCUCACCCUAGUUGUUGGAGAAGGACACACUAGAAUCCCUUUGGGAACUUUUAAAACGUUGAUGCUCAGCUUCACUUCUCAUGAAUUAAGUUACAAUUUCUGAGGGAAGGGACCAGCUAUUGGCAUUUUUAUAAAAAACUCCCCAAGUGGUUUUUAUGUGGUGUAGCCAGGAUUGGGAACCAGUAAUCUGUGUAACACAAUGGUAAUUUUUAAUACAUAAAUUAGCAAUUCACUGUAUUCAAGAUAAAACGGUAACCAUUUUUGGUACAUCUCAUGAAUGUACAUUGUAUCAUUCUUGUUACAAAGCUGUUGAGAUCAUCUGGGCAGGAUUUCACAUUAUCAGUCUCUUCUGUUCUUUUAAGUUCUCUAGUUAUUUCUGCGUUAUUUCCUUGAAGUCUUAAAAAAACUUUGAUUAUUAAGAAGGAAAAACUUCAUUGCUAUUUUAUCCUAAUAAUCAAAUAUUUGUUUCAAAAGUGAUUUUCCUGUUUCACCUGUGGCGAGAAUAGUAAGAUCGUAAUUUCCUGGAAUUUUGUGUCAUUUUCCCCAAAAUAAUAAAACCCUCCUUCAACAUACAUACUGUUAGCAAAUAUUCUCUACUGACAUUCUGAUUUUAAUGUAAGCAAUAUUUAUACUUUAUACUUUCAUAAUCAUUGGAUGUAAUUUUAUUGAUUAUUCAUCAAUAUCCCUUUCAAUAUUCCCUGAUCCUAAAUGAGCAUGCAUUUCAGAAAAUUAUCCUGACUGUAUAAGUUCAAAAACUAAAAAACCAUAAAUAUGUCACAUAAGAUUUCCCAUUCUGUGUAAUUGUCCUUGACAUUGGACUUCCUGCCUAUGACUUUAGGAUAUACUAAGAAGUCUAGGAAGACAACCUGAGCUGAAAACUAGGGUGUGGUUUGUGUCUGGGUUGCUUUUGUUAAAUUAUGGAACAUUUCUCUUUCUCAAUUUGUUUGAACCAAAAAACUGGAUUAAAGACCUCCUGUCACCUAAUUUCAGGGUUUUUUUUUUCUUUUUUUUUUUUUCCUAGCUAUGAGGCUAGCACCUAGUGUUUGCCUCACUGACCAACCACUUUUUAAAUAUUAAUUCAUUUUGUUAAACGUUUUAUUUUGACCUAUUUUUGACUUACAGAAAAGUUGGAAAAAUUGUACAAAAAAUUCCUUUAUGUCUCACCAGCUUACUUACCCUUAUGUGAACAUCUUACAUCAUAACCAUAGCACGAUGGUCAAGAACAGAAAACUAACAUCAGUAUAAUAUUAAUUAUAGAUGUUUUCCCAAAUUUCACCGUUUUUUCCAUUAUCAUCCUUUCUCUGUUCCAAGAUGCUACCUGGGAUCCCACAUUGCAUUUAGUUAAUUCUCCUUAGUCUCCUCCUGUCUGUAACAGUUUUUCAGUCCUUGGUUUUAUCUUUUAUCACUUGACACUUAUGAAGAGUAUUGAUGUGUUGUUUUGUUUUAGAGAUCAGGUCUUGCUAUGGUGCCCAGGCUGGAGUGCAGAGACUAGUGACAGGUUUGAUCAUAGCUCACUGCAGCCUCAAACUCCUGGCCUCAAGACAUCUUCCUGCCUCAGCCUCCUAAAUAGCUGGGACCACAGAGUGCAAUAUGCCUGGCUGGAUCAGUUGUUCUAUAGAAUGUCUGUCAAUCUGAAUUCUUCUGAUACUUUCUCAUAAUUGGAAUGAAGUUACAGAUUUUUGGCAAGAAUGCCACAGAAAUGGUGUUGUGGUGUCCUCAGGGCAUCAUACUAAGGGGUUGAUAAUCUCUGUGUCUUAUCAUUGAUAUUUACUUUGAUUGCUUUGGUUAGGUGGGUGUCUGCCAUGUUUUUUACUGUAAAGUUACAUUUUUCCCUUUGUAGUUAAUAUGUAUCUUGGGGAAAUACAUUGAAACUUGCAAAUUCUAUUCUCAAACUUCCAUAAAUUUUUGCAUCCACGAGAGUCAUGAGAGCACCUUGUCUGUCUGUGAUAAUUACUAUUGUGGUAGUUGCCUAAUGGCGAUUAUGGUUUUUUAUCUUCUCCAUUUAUUUAAAUUCUUCUAUGAGGAAGAGCCAUUUCUUUCCCUGUUUGUUUGCUUAUUUUAUUAUUUAUAACAAUUUGGAACCAUAGAUAUUUAUUUUAUUCUGUGUGUUCAGUACUACCAUUAUUUACUUAGUGACUCAAUUUGCUCUAACGUUAACCAGUCAAGUGGGCCCUUGUACUUAAACAAGCCUUAUUUUAUUUUAUUUUAUUUUAUUUUAUUUUAUUUUAUUUUUUAGUGUUUCCUUUUAUUUUCUGGGACCACAAGAUGUUCUUUACUUUCUAUUCCUAUGACCCCCAAACAUUUCCAAAAUAGGACUGAUCUCAUGAGGGCACUCUAUUAACUUUGAAGCAGUGAGCUACUGAGUUCAUGUGACUGGUAGUAUCUACUCUGUGAAUUAGUUCACUUCUAUGUCACAAGCGACACAACUGUCAAAUAAGAAUCACCUGUGCCUACUACCGUUCCAUAAUACUAGUUGUGGCUGAAUAUUUACCAAAUACCACGCACAAAUGAAAAUAAGCUGACUUCAUGCUUUUGCUUGGGGAGUAUGUAUGUUGUGUGUCUUCAAAUGAAACAAGGACAUUUUAGAUUAUUGUAGAUGCUUUGAGGGAUACGGGGGCUGAUUUUUAAAAAGAAUACAUGACCAUAAGGUGGCAAUAACACAGAUAAGUUUUAUUUCCCUUUGACAGGUUUGCAUGCAGGAGAAGUCCCUCAUAGCAUGAGAUCUUCCAGAGUUUAAAGUACAGGGAAUGACCACUCAGAAGGAGUGGAGGGCAAGGGAACUUCCAGGGAAGAGGGGAAUUUGAUAGAGGGCUAUGUGUCUCCAUAACGUCAUUAGCAGCAUGGCAAGAGUCUGACUCAGACGGCUCCAAAGGGCGGCAGCAGCUUGGGGUCUUUAGGGCCCAGAACUUGUCUGUUGCUAGCAGAUGUUUGGAGCAGUUUUACUGAAUACACAAUACAGACGGGCUCUAAGUGGCUACAAAUAUGCUAAUUUGGACUAUCUGCUUAUUUGGACCGAUUUAACAGUUGGAUGUGUAAAAAUUUGAGUUUGGAGCUAUCAGACUUUUGAGUUAGUGGGUCUCUGCCUGCAGUGAAGAAAUGAACCAUCUAGGGCCCAAUACACAGAUGCCAUUGUUGACUCGUUUAUAUAAUAUUCAUAAAGUAGCACUAUGAUUUUUCAUGCUACAUCAACUCUCAGUUUCAUGAAUGUAAUGAAUCAUUAUUAAAAGUGAGCUGGAUGGCUGAACAGCUUGUCAAUCUUGAUUUACACAGUAAGAAUGAUACGUUAUUAGCAUAGGACUAUUACAAUAGUAAGAUCUUAAAACUGGCCUUACAAUUCUAUUCCUCCCACCAUGUGGGCAUCCAAUAAGUGUCUUGAUUUACACAGUAAGAAUGAUACGUUAUUAGCAUAGGACUAUUAUGGUAGUAAGACCUUAAAACCUGUGUUACAGUUACAUUCCUCCCACCAUGUGGGCAUCCAAUGAGAAGCUGAAGAUGGCAUGCAAAUCCUGAUUAUCUACUCACUCCAUAUCCAUGGGGACUUGGGGAGAAUCUGAGGUGGCGCCUGUGGUGGAGUGGACAAUGUUGGACUUGGAGUUCAAAGUCAUCUCCAGAUCCUGAUACUGUUAUUUGCUUGUCCCAUGACCCAUAGGUAGAGGAUUUAAUUCUGUAAAGCCAGUCUUCUCUGCAAAAUGGGAAUAGAACUGUCUCACGUGGUUAUUGUUGGUGCUAGAAUAACACCAACAGCAUUACAUCCUGAGUCUCAGAAAACAAAUGCUACCCAGAAUGAACUUUUAUAGAUUGUUUACAGUCUGUGUGAUAUCAUAAUAGAAGAUCUCCCUACAGGGAGGUUUGCAUGCAGGAUGAUGUGAUUGGAAUGGUAUGGAGACAGCCACUCUGCAAUGUUCACUCGAAGAUCCACUACAUUAUAAUGCUCCAAGAAGAUAAGGACUGCAUGUAUUUUGUCUACUUCUGAAUAUCCAAGAUUUUCCAGGGUACCUGACAUAGAGUAGGUACUAUAUAAAGACAUUAUUUGAACCACUUCUUUGAGAAAACCUCAACUAAACGCAUUUAUGGAAGAUAAGUUCUAGAUAUCUAUGUACAACAUUGUGCCUAGAGUCAGCAUUGCUAUGCUGUGCACUUGAAAAUUUGUUAAGAGGAUAGAUCUCAUGUUAAGUGUUCUCAUCAAACAAUCCCUGAUAAAUUCAAAUAUAUAUUAAAUCAUUAGUGUCUUGAUUGAUAGUAAUCAAUCAAAUUAACUUCACUUAGCAGUAUCCUAAGGGAAUGGGGCAUAAUUUUGAUGAAAGGAGGUUUAGAGCAUGGGAUAUUGUUGAGUAAGGAAAGCUAAGGUGCUGGGGCAGGUGGUCACCAAACAGCCAGUGGGGGGUCAGAAGAGGUUAAAUGCGCUGGGAGGGAAACACUGAAACCUAUGAGAGGGCUUAUGAAUAUGGUCACUUAAAACAAACAUGGACAACUUCCUAAGGAUGAGUUCUGUGCCUAUACAACUUUUAAUGUAAAUGAAUCUGUAUCUUGCUGAGGAUAAGAUGUGAUGGAAUUAAUUGUAUCUUGGACAUGGUUCAUGUUUCCUAGAGGUGCUACAGAAAGGGACAGACACCCAUUUUUGCAGACUCCAAACGCAGUUAUCUCUGAAGGCUGGACAGUCUUCGGACAGCUGCUGUGUGCAGACAGCAGCACAGGAAAAGGGAGACAGAGGAGAGGGAGUGGAGGAAGGUAAAUGACAGACACAUGGAUCCAGGGAAGAAGAAGAGAAGCGUGAAAAGAGAGAGAAAGAGAAAAAUGAGACACCAGCAACGCUGAGAGUUCAUGUCAUUGGUUUUCCAGAGCUCCCAAUCGACUCAAAAACUUCUCGGCAUAGGCCAAAGUCCUCAUGUAACUCUUUUUUCCCUAUCUGUCCCACUCACAAAUCUCAACAUUUGUCUUCGAAAGUGUGACAACGAGUUACAAGUGGAACAACACAUAGAACUGGCUAUUUUUUUUUCACUAUUUCACAGAAUUGGGUGGCCGAGGAUUUGACAAUGGGUAAGAAAGAUGACCUGAAUGGUGAAUGCUGCAAACUUGUCUCCUUUAUUAAUAAACAAAUUCAAACCCAAA